rnacentral:lncRNA from 1 species
GGGAGUCAGGCUCAAGCUGAAGUUCAGAGGUUAAAAGACCAGAUGGCUCAGAUGCAAGCGACCACAGUUGAAGUUCAAAGGAAAUAUGAGGAACUCCAGUAACAACUUAAAGCAGAGGCAGCAGCGAGGGAAGCAGCAGCUGCAGCGAGGGAAGCAGCGGCUACAGCGAGGGAAGCAGAGGCUGCAACGAGAGAAGCAGAGCAGAGCAAAAAGUACGACGAACUCCAGCAG